UACGUAGGGGGCAAGCGUUGUCCGGAUUAUUGGGCGUAAAGAGCGUGUAGGCGGCUUUACAGGUCCGUUGUGAAAACUCGAGGCUCAACCUCGAGACGCCGGUGGAAACCGUAAGGCUAGAGUCCGGAAGAGGAGAGUGGAAUUCCUGGUGUAGCGGUGAAAUGCGCAGAUAUCAGGAGGAACACCCGUGGCGAAAGCGGCUCUCUGGGACGGUACUGACGCUGAGACGCGAAAGCGUGGGGAGCAAACAGG
rnacentral:rRNA from 1 species